AACAUUACAGGAUACUGGAUUGGCCUCAGAGCUGAAGGAGGGAAAUGGAAAUGGAUCGAUGGAAGUGAUCUGACCAAUCAAGCCUGGAUACAGCAGCCGCCUGUUGAUGGUCAGUGUGUAACUUCUCUCCAGAACAGAGGAUGGAGAUCAGUGAGCUGUGAU